rnacentral:lncRNA from 1 species
UUGAGUAUAGAGAGCAAAAUCCUAGAGGAUGUCAACAUUAGAAAUUGAAGAAAAGCAAAGGAAAUUAAAAACAAGUAGCCAGUGAGAAAAGAGAAAAAUAAAACGUUUUUUCAAGGAUGAAGAUGGGAUAAAUAAUAAGUGCUGCUGAGUGGUGAAAUGAAAUGAGGACCAAGAAAUGACCACUGGAGAGACAGGUGGUGGUCGUGUCUAGAAUGAUGUGCCAAUGGAGUGCCAGCUGAUGUGUAUUACUUCCCAGGCAAUCCUGUAAAUGAACCAUGUCGACAGCUGACUACAACAUCUGUAUAUGAUGAGGAUGAGAGAAGACUCCUGAAAUCUCCAAUUUUAAAUGACCUUAUACUUCAGGAACCCGUCUCAAGUUUCUGAUGAUGUAAUUUUAUUCUUUCAACCUCAGUU